GAGGAAUUAUUCCGACUGCAACGCAGAUUAAAUCUACGGAUUUAAUUUAAGUUAUAUUACAGUUUAUCAAGUUAGCAGGCAAGGAAAAAGAUAUCAAGCUAGAUGAUUUUUUUUUAGUAACUUCAAUACUUUACAAUCAUCAUUAUUUUCCACUCCCUAAUGUCUCCUACACUAUCAGCCACCAACCUCACCACUACACCUACUCUUCCACUUCACUUUGCCACCAUUACAACGCCAAUAAUUUGGCAUUUGCAUAAAGAAGAAAAGAGAAAGAAUAGAAUAAGCUAAUAGAAAGAAAAAGUGGCUGUCCACCAAAAUUUUGCUCCCCACCUCUCCACUCCACCAACUUCUCCACCACACUCAAGUAUAGCCACUAAUUCACCUCCAUUCUACACUAACUCCACGAGAAGAGCAGGAGAACUUCACUCAUCUUCUGCAAGCAUCCAAGAAAAUCCUCAUCUGUCCAUCGUUGCAUCAAAGGCAAGAAAGCAAACUUGAAAAUCAACCAAAGAGAAAAACCCAGCAAGUGUAGAUCUUUCUAAAGUCUCCAGCUAACAAUGGAAGAAGUAAAAUAAACCAUCAGUUCAUUUCCCUGCCAAAACUUCAAGAGGUAAAUUUGGCUUUAAUUCAUCCACUUAAAUUCUUAUACUCCUGCAAGUAUUGAGAAAAGCCAACAACCUUCUAUUUCAGUUAUCAUCAAUUCAACCACAGCAACAUCCCACCGAAACAAACAUUCAAGGUGAUCAAUCUAUCUCUGUUAACUCCCUCAUGUCGCACAAGUCACAACAUCAGAUUAUGUUUUUAUGAAAGAAGUGAAUAGAAAGUAGGAAGGCUUAUUCACAUAAGAAAUACAGAACUUAUUGAUGAGCAGUAUAAGCACCUAUAGAGACAACAAUAGGAUUUAGAACACUUAUCUUGC
rnacentral:lncRNA from 1 species